rnacentral:lncRNA from 1 species
AAAAUUUAAAAUUUAAAAUUUUAAAAUUUAAAUUUAAAAUUUAAAAUUUAAAAUUUAAAAUUUUGAAAUUUAAAAUUUAAAUUUUAAAAUUUCAAAUUUUGAGAUUUGAAACUUAAAUUUUAAAUUUUAAAUGUAAAUUUUAAAUUUUAAAUUUGAAAUGUUGAGAUUCAAAAAUUCAAAUAUGAAUUUAAAUUUUGAAAAUUUAAAUUUAAUGUUAAAUUUAUACUUUGAAUCUAAAAUAAAAAUAAAAGUUAGAGGUUUGAGUUCAAAAUCCGAAUCAGUUUUGAAGAAGCAGCUUUUUUCUACUUCUGAUUUUGGAGCCUUCAAAAUUAAUUUUCUGAUUCUAAAAAGUAGAAUCAGAUUUUCAGAAUGUCAUUCCCAAACACUCUACUGAGAUCAAAAGUGAUAUUGGGCUCAGAAUCACUUUUGAAUAGCUAGGCCAAACACCCCCUAAAGCAAAUAGCCCGCUUUACGUGCAAAGGAGUUAAGAUGACUAUAGAUACCGACGACAAUA